rnacentral:rRNA from 1 species
AACGAACGCUGGCGGCAGGCCUAACACAUGCAAGUCGAGCGAGGACUUCGGUUCUAGCGGCGGACGGGUGAGUAACGCGUGGGAAUGUGCCCUUCUCUACGGAAUAGCCCUGGGAAACUGGGAGUAAUACCGUAUACGCCCUAUUGGGGAAAGAUUUAUCGGAGAAGGAUCAGCCCGCGUUGGAUUAGGUAGUUGGUGGGGUAAUGGCCUACCAAGCCGACGAUCCAUAGCUGGUUUGAGAGGAUGAUCAGCCACACUGGGACUGAGACACGGCCCAGACUCCUACGGGAGGCAGCAGUGGGGAAUCUUAGACCAUGGGGGCAACCCUGAACGAGCCAUGCCGCGUGAGUGAUGAAGGCCUUAGGGUUGUAAAGCUCUUUCAGCUGGGAAGAUAAUGACGGUACCAGCAGAAGAAGCCCCGGCUAACUCCGUG